UACGUAGGGUGCAAGCGUUAAUCGGAAUUACUGGGCGUAAAGCGUGCGCAGGCGGUUGUGCAAGACAGAUGUGAAAUCCCCGGGCUUAACCUGGGAACUGCAUUUGUGACUGCACGGCUAGAGUGCGGCAGAGGGGGAUGGAAUUCCGCGUGUAGCAGUGAAAUGCGUAGAUAUGCGGAGGAACACCGAUGGCGAAGGCAAUCCCCUGGGCCUGCACUGAUGCUCAUGCACGAAAGCGUGGGGAGCAAACAGG
rnacentral:rRNA from 1 species